GCGCCGGUGGUGUAAUGGCGUAGAGCAUUCCCCAGAGGGAGGUGCGGGUUCGAGUCCCGCCUGGCGCU
rnacentral:tRNA from 1 species